AACUCAUGGUUUGGGCAUUGCAUGAUCUUCCCAUUAAAUCUCUCCCAUAUCUUGUAUAGAGGCUCUUCAUUCAAUUAACAAAAGUUUGUGAUUUCAUCACACAGUU
rnacentral:snoRNA from 1 species